ACCAACGAGUUGUAUGGGAAAGUAUCAGCAAGACCUCCACAGACGCUGCAGAUCGCAGCAGCAAACAGAAGCAGAUUCUCCUCUCCCGGCCCCUUCAGAGUCCAGGUUUAUCUCCAAGACCAAGGUCAAACACAGUGGACACAGUGGACACAGUGGACAUGCAGAGGUGCGCGGACCCGUGCUUGCACCUUACCUGCACUUCAUCAAAGAGUGUCCUCACUUGUUGCAGUGGUACUGGGAUGCUUCCAAGACCACUCAGGGGCAGAUGAGACACCUCAACCAACCAUUUACGGAGCUUCUCUGCCAUUUCUCUAUAGCGUUGCCAUUGGCGAAUCUGGCUGUCGAUGAUACCUCUUCUCUGUUGGGCCCUGCGAAUCACUCCUUGCCAUUGGUUACUGAGGAGUGUCAACUUCAGGCUGAACUCCUCCCUGGAGAAGAAAUAAUUAGAUGGGGGAGGGGACACAUAACCCAUAGUCUUGGGUAGAGUCACAGGAUCAGCCAGUAUACAUUUUCCAUAAAUGGUAUGCCCUGAGAAAAAGGAUCUAUGACAAACGACUUCAAAUUAGCUGUGGUCUGUUUGCUGGGUUGAAAGUAAUCAAGUUAGACUGCCAGUCUGCAAGUGGUGAGUGUUUUCGUAUCUCAGAACAGAUAAAAAAGCAAAUCUAUGGCAAUUAUCAUGUACUCUUUCCUUAAGUAUGUAUGUGUGUGGCAGUGACAGUCUCUUGUGCCUUACAAAGCAUAUGACAAGGAACCUGCCCACAAACUCCCUCCCCAGCUAGAAUCAUAUGCCAUUUUGGAAAAUCAAAAUCAACCCACUUAAAUUACACUACAUUAAAAUUUUUGUUUUUUCUUUAAAAAA
rnacentral:lncRNA from 1 species